rnacentral:sRNA from 1 species
CAUAUAUACAAUAAUAAUCUUUAUAAAUUAAUAAAAAAAUUUGGUUAUAUUUUGGGACCGGUAUAAGAAAUUGACAUUAUUGUUUUAAAAGUUUUAUAGAAACAUAUAGUCCAUUAAUAACAUAAA